GAGUACUAAUCUAUGAACAAUAUGGUACAGGACAGCUUGAGAUUUUCUGAUAUAUGGUGUGUAACACAUAAACCCUCCUUGAUGGGUAACCCAUUGGGCUUCAUCCUUUCUACUGAUCAUAUGACACUUCUUGCCCUUUUUUUCUGGAAGGUACCAUGUUUGAGGUGCAUACAUUUGGUGCUGUUUCACACCAGGAUGUCAUGCAACUUCAUAAGCAUGACUGUACCCAUAAGACCCCAAGUUAUUUUCUGUCAUUUACACAGUACUGUAAAUGGCAGAAUUUCAACCCUGCCAUUUGCAUAUUCCAAAGGGAGAAAUACCUGGCUUACCUUACUUACCUUAGAGGAUGUGAAUGAAAAAUCCUCACUAAGUUAAACAUUCAGAGAACUUUUCAGUGGCAAAGAGGAUGUGAAAAUAUCCCUUUUCACCUCGAUGAAGUGAUGACUGCAAAUUUGUGUUAUUUAUGGCUUGGAGAGUUUUCCUACUAUAAAUGUCUCACCCUGAAAAGAUGUUAAUUUAAAUGUAUGAGAUGUUAGUUGUCUUGGCUAUUUUUAAAUAGUUGAAUGUGUUUAGUGGAGUUGGAAACAGUAAUUCCCAUUCAUUUUAAAAGAUGUCUAUGCCCUAAACAAAUCAUUGCCUUUUUGCUGAGCAUAUUUUCAUUAUAAAAAAAAAUGUAUCCAUACAAAGUCAUGGGUAAAAAACAUGAUUUAGCUGUUUCAUUUUUUUCUUUAUCAUUUUUGUGCUAUUUACCUUCCUUAUCUUCCUAUGGGCUAGGCUUGUAAAGGCUCCUGGGCCAUUAGCCUGGUACACACAUAUGAACAUUGCUGAGUACCCUCUUAGACACGGGCAGGGUGAGAAAUGACCAUUUUCAUAGGAUUGUAGGAAGUUGCUACGCUAGUGGCCCUGAGGACCUUUCAAGCCUAGCCAAGAAUUUAGCCCAUGUUCCAAGUUAGCACCCUAUGCCACUGUCAAGCAAGGACACGUGGAAUCCCAGAGGUGCCAUGCAAGAAAUUGCUCUAUAUCGUCACAGGUGAUCAUAAAUCUCUAAUUUCCUUUACUGAGACAGCCAGCCAGAAACAGUAACUGUACCAAGUAACCCAACUCAUGACAGAUGAGGGAUAAACUCUUGGCUAGGUUUGUAAGGGCCCCGGGGCCAUUAGCUUAGUAACCUUUGUAAGGGCCCUGGGGCCAUUAGUUUAGUAACCUCCUAUGAUCCUAUUAGUUAAAAUGUCAGGUGUGGAUGAAAUCCAAUAUUCUUUAAGAAUUUAUCUCCCUGGCUCUUGCAUCAUCUUUCCCUUUGCACUUUGUUUAGCCCUCAAAAAUGUCCAUGUAGCAAAAUGUUUGAAACCCUUUUUUCUUUCCCUUCUGCUGAAGUCACAAAUCUGUUGAAUCUUUGGGGAUUUACAACUGUUUUACUGUGUACUGUCAUUUACAGCUUUGUGUUCUCAUCCCCACCACCAUAAAACUAUCAAAUCUUUUGAUAUUCAGAACUUUCUCUGCAGUGUCAGAGAAUAAUCCUGGUACCAAUGACAGAAACAGAGGAUGAAUGUAGUUUGUAUCUUUUAAAAGAUCUAAUUUAACCACUAUUUCAUAUUUAAUGAGGAAAGGGAUUAAAUUGUGUUUAAAAUGUAGUAAUGAGACAAGAAAGUAUUAAUAGACGAAAAUGUCACAUGUUCUAUCCAGAGAUUUUCAACGUACGAAGUAAUUCUGAGUACUGCCAUUUUAAGUUAAUACAAAAAAGAUGCUGCAUGAAAGUAUAUCUCAUUACAAUCUUAUCUUUUAAGGACCCAGAGUGCAUAUGAGAAGAAGAAAAUAGUCAUAAAUCAAUAUCAUCUUACUAUGUUUACCCUAUCGAGUCAUUUUGGUUAGAACAAAAAAAAGUACUUGCAGUGCUGCAUUCACUGUUGUAGAAUAGAAACCCUUUUACUAGUGAUGCAUGCGCCUGUGUUACUGUUUAUAGCAAUUUUUGGCCCAAUGCAAAUAUGCUCUUUACACUGAAAGAGUUUUGGGAUUAAAUAUAAAUGAUAAAUGUAUUGAAUGAGGUGCAGCAGUUCAGUAACUAACUUUGUAACCUCCUUUCUUGGCAAAACAGACACAGGUUAUUUAUAAUGUUUUCACUCCAGUCAAUUCAAAAUGGAAUAUCUGAAUGAAUAUUUAGUAUGUGUGUUGCGGUACAUAGCCUGAUAUUUGGAGGUGUGGAAGAUGUAUUAUGCAAAUCUCAUUCUACAUUGCAUUUAAGUAGACCUCAUACUGGCAGCAUUUAUAUAUGGCAACAUCUGCCAACUAAUCUAUGUGAUUAAUACAAGCUGCAGUAUAAAGAACAGUUAGGGACAGUGGAGCUGAGUGAAGUUUUAAACUUUUGUGCACUGUCUGCAAAAUAUUUCCAUAUUUCAGUAUAGUUUUCUGCAGUGUUCUAGUGGCCCUGGUCAUAAACUUGACAAUCACACUUAGACUGCAGUCUAGCAAAGGACUUGCUGAAGUUGAACAAGUGGCCAGAAUGCUACCAGCUGAGGUUCACUGCAGACAAAUGCAAAGCUCUGUACGUGGACCAGAAUAACCCUGGUGAAAAUUAUCAGCUGGGAGGAGUGGAAAUGAGGGCAGCAGACCAGGAAAGGCAUUUAGUGGUACUGAUGAAACCUGAAUAUGAGAGAGCAGUGGUAACUAAAACAGAAUAUUGGGAUGUAUCCCCAGGGGGGAUACAUUCCAAAGAGAAUGAAGUAAUGUUUUUAUAGGGCCUUCAUCAGACCACUCCUCAAGUACUGCAUGCAGUUCUUGAGGCCACACAAGGAAAAUGACAUUGCACUGCUGGAGAAAUGGUCUGUGGGAUGAAUAAACAAGAAUAUGACCAGCGGCUACAGCAUGUAAAGUUCUUCAGACUUGAAACCAGGAGAUAUAUGGCACAUGGUAUUGGUGCACAUGAUCAUGCCAGGGAGAUGUGAAAGAGUCAUUCUGAACAAGAAAGUUAUUGCUGGAAGUAGGGGCAAAGACAUCAGAAGGUUGUUAGAGAAGAGACCAUGUAAUACAUACAUACAUACAUAUAUAUAUAUAUAUAUAUAUAUAUAUAUAUAUAGAGAGUACUCUGUGACGAACAAAGUUGCUGCAGCUACACCUUGAAAUCAUGAAAAAAGAACUGCGAUCCAUAUAUUAGUUCAUUUGAGACUUCAGAGUAAUCCAGCACAUAACUUCUUUAAAAUCAGUACUGUACUGAAAAUAAAUUAAACAGAUGAGGGCUUUUACCCUUAAAUGGGCUUCAUCAAAUCUAACUCCAGUUUACAGGGCAUACAGUAUUUAUAUGCUUUUAUAUGUAGCUCAUUGUUGGUUGACUCGAACUGGGGUAGUAACUGUAAGCCAUAGCCAUUUGGACAAGUUAUCUUAGAAUAGGUCAAGUCUUUCACACUUGUUCUGCAUAUUUACUCCUAUUAGUGAUUAAUAGGUUAUAGUUGUGCUGUUACAUCAACAUCAUUUUUGGCUGCCAAUAAUAGAUAAAAAAGCUAAACAUCUAAACUGCAUUUUAGCAUUUUUAAAUGAAAAAAUGCAGUUAUUUAAAGUGUAAAGAAGGCAAUUAAAGUAGUGUGUUUGUAGGGGGGGGCAAGUCCUCCUGCAUCCCAAUACCAAUGUAUUUUAAUAAACUAACUCCACAAUCAUACAACAGAGGAGAAAGGGGCAAAUAACACCUACAGUAAAAGGUCAUCCUGCUCCUUUGUGCACCCCCCCCACACACACACACACACAGUGUGAUCCUGCAUAAAACUAAUAUAUUUCUAACUGCGUUAUACAAAAACAGACCAGACUCCAGAUUACACUACCUUCCAUCAUUCCAUUAUGUCAGCUAGUACUUAAUGUAAAACAAAUUAGAAAUCCAUGCUUCACUGAAGCUGUCAGUCAGUGUAGUAGACAUGCAUAACUAUCCUUCAAUUAGACUUACGUCAGUAUCAUGGGAACUGGAUAUAUGGACACACACACACAUUUAAUGUAUACACUUAAGCCAGCUUUUGGCAUAACAUUUUUCACUUAUGCAUGAAUAAUGUAGUAUAACAUAACUGUCAUUAAACUGCAGUAUUAAGUGCAAAAAAUAUUUGUUUUUAUAAUUUAAUGACUGUCAUGCCUUACUGGUUCUUCAUCUAAAUAUAUGGAGUUUUACAGAUGAGGUAUGGAUCUCUAUCAUACUGUUUUAAAACCAUACUGUUUUAUCUAAUUGUUAAACGCAUGCAAUUAAAUGAACAGUCAGAAAAGAAGUAACACUCAGAAAUAAAAGGAAAGGUUUGAUCACUUAAUACUGUAUAUUUUGAUUAGUAUUAUGCUGCAAAAUGAUUGUGAUAUACACUAAACAAAUGCAUAAAACAACAGCAUUUACAUACAGUAUUGUGCUGAUAGAAAUCCCUACUCCUAAUCUGCUAAACUGCAUACAGUUUAAAGAAAUGUCAUUAAAACAUGGCAGUCAUUAAAACAUAAAGCGUUAAGUGAAAAAAAAAUUUUGUGUUUUAAUGACUGUCACAUCUUCCUGACUCUUCACAAUUGCUUGAAAGAAUAAUGUUUAAACUCAAUGCAGGUAGCAAUCCCUGCUAAAAAGUGAUCAAGUUCAACCAAUCAAAAGCAGUGUAUUAUACUUGCCCUACUCUGGCCUUGUGCAUUUAGUAUAUGAUUUUAAGCCACAUGUGAGACAAGCCCUCCUGCAGGAUCCAUGUUAAAGCCGAUCUCUGAGACACAAUUGAUUGAGGUUCAAUGGUUUCUUUUAAUCAGUUGCAGUUUGAUAAACUGCAUUUCAAUCAUAGAUGUAUGUGUGUAUACAUUUAGGGGGACAGUGAGUAGUGGCAAAAGCUAUUUUGGUUGACAUGGGAUUUAUAAAAAAAAAAUAAGUUGAAUGCCGGAGAGCCACUUGCCCUCUGCAGGACACAUGGUUGACCCAUUCGCAGGGUGGUGAUUUGCUGGCAUGUAGUCAAGUUUGUGAAUCUCAAUAUUUGUAGCUAACAUUUGUGAUUAUAUUCAUGUUACACACAGACACACACAAACACUCUCUCCGCUGAUUAGGUACUUGGUCUUCAACCAGACUAAAGUUACAUUUGGGGAAACACCUGAUGUCUCAUAUUGGUAGAGCAAAGGGAAUGGUGAGGGCAAAACUGCUAACAAAAGUCUUGCAGUCUGGCAGAUUCACAGCCAUUUUGAGUGUUACACAGUUAAAGUUCUACCUUAUCAUUGAUACUGCUUUACAUUUUCAAUCAGUGCUAUAUACACAGCAUUGGAUGAAGUGCAGAUUCAGCACCUUCGUUGAGUUGUAUAAAUGCAGUGAUCUGAAGUGGAUCAGAGGCAACCAUAACAAAGAGAGCUGAAUCAGUCAAAACUACAAGAGGUUUGUAUUCAAUAUGGAGGCUUUAAUGAUCAUUGGUUUGAUUGUUUCCAGAUCAGUUUUUACCAGGAGCUGCAUGAAGUCAUUGAUAAGUGCAGUUAGGCUCUAAAGGUCAGUAAGGCCAGCACCAAAAAAGAAACACAUGUGCAAUAGCAUAUGCUGCAUGCUGCUGAAAAUUCUUGAGCAACCCGCUAUCCAUCUGCAGAGGGUGCUGGGAUUUGUAGUAAAAUAUACUAACCUUCACCUAUGCAAAUUUAGUGUGGCACAAUCUACUAUGCUAUUGCAAACAGUAAGUAAACCAAAAUUAUUUUGAACAGAAUGUGCAUCUGAACCAGCUGCUGUAACCCUCCCUUCAAAAGUCAACGUUUAAGCAGCUUCUUUUGUCUUUAUAGUUAAUUAUUAUUAUUGUUAUUACUAUUAUUAUUGUUAAUAACUGAUGUUUUUACAUUGCUGUUAUACUUUUGUGAUUUAUCUUAUUUUUUUAGUUUAAAAAGGGCAAGUCAAUCAAUUUAAUGAUGUUCUUCCUUAUCUGUUAUGUAGUAUAUAUUAUUCUAAAAUCAAGUUAUGAACUCAUGGUUUUGUUAUCACUGUAUUGUUGAGCUAAGCUGUCACUGGCAUUUCUGCAUUAACAUUGAUAAUAAGGAAAAUCAGGCUGGGCAUUUUAUUGGUAAAUGUGGGUGUUCUGUUGGUGUAUAAUGAGUUUUGAAGCCAAAGUUGGAGGUGUUUCACAGUGUGAAAGCGUGACAGUCCAUUAUUAAAACUGUAUACUGAAGUACACUGCUACAUUUAGCAUGUUGCCUAACAUUUAAAUAUCUGCCCUAAAAGUACAGCAGUGUGCAGGUUUGAAUGUUUAUAAAAUUUUCAGGAAAGAAUAUUAUCUUUCAUUCAUUCAAGAUGAGUUUGAUACAGUUUAAGCUCCUAUUUGUAUGAUUUAUUAUGGUAUAUUAACACUAAGGGCCAGAUUCACAAAUGCUUACAGGAAGUGUACACUAAGUGUAUACCAUUCUGAAUGAACAGUCAACACAGGCAUAAUUCACAACUUCUUCAUGCUAAUUUUCCUUGAUUUUCUUGCAGCCUUAACUAUUGAGGGGGAUUCAUUACAGACUACGUAACACAGUGUAAUCUUUCUAAGCGACCAGAAACCACAUGUAAUGUAGUAGAGAUUCGUGAAUACAGAACAUAUACAUUUAGUGUAGGUGUUGAUGAAUCUCUGUAAUGUGGUAGGGAUUCGUGAAUACAGAACAUAUACAUUUAGCGUAGGUGUUGAUGAAUCUCUGUAAUGUGGUAGGGAUUCGUGAAUACAGAACAUAUUCAUUUAGUGUAGCUGUUGAUGAAUCUCUGUAAUGUGGUAGGGAUUCGUGAAUACAGAACAUAUACAUUUAGCGUAGGUGUUGAUGAAUCUCUGUAAUGUGGUAGGGAUUCGUGAAUACAGAACAUAUACAUUUAGUGUAGGUGUUGAUGAAUCUCUGUAAUGUGGUAGGGAUUCGUGAAUACAGAACAUAUUCAUUUAGUGUAGGUCUUGAUGAAUCUCUGUAAUGUGGUAGGGAUUCGUGAAUACAGAACAUAUUCAUUUAGUGUAGGUGUUGAUGAAUCUCUGUAAUGUGGUAGGGAUUCGUGAAUACAGAACAUAUUCAUUUAGUGUAGCUGUUGAUGAAUCUCUGUAAUGUGGUAGGGAUUCGUGAAUACAGAACAUAUACAUUUAGCGUAGGUGUUGAUGAAGCUCUCCUUCGGUCUUUUUGUUUUGCACUUGCUGUAAUAGCAACCUUUAUGAAGUGGUUUAGUUAAAAUUAUGUUGAAAACUUGCCAUGCAUUGGAGUACAUUUUAAUGAAUUUAUGUAAAGUAUACUACUUAGUUUUCCUUUAAAUUAUUUCAUGUUGAAUUUGUGUAAGGUUUUAUUAGUUAACAUUUCUUCAUCAUUUUUGCCAACGUGUGGUAUACGUUACAAGAAACACUUCAUGAUGAAUAUGCUACCAAUGUUGCCCAUUGGCUAAAUGGAAUGCACAUAAAUUGCAUGUGGGCUCCUGUGUGUGUGUGUGUGUGUGUGUGUGUGUGUGUGUGCGUGUGUGUGGAUGCGUGUGUGUGCAUGUGUGGAUACACUGGAAGGUACUUGGUUGUUUAUAAGGAUAAUAAACACUGAUAAUGUAGGUGCUGAAGUCAUCAUUGCAUUUUCUGAUACAGUAAUGAUAAUCUGUAUCUGUGGGACACAGAUAAUCUAUUUCUGUGUCAUGGAGAGUUUUCAUGUGCCUUUGGCACCAGUUCAGAAAUUAUUUCCUUGUGUACAAUUUAUUAUAUGGUUCCUGUUAAGAUUUUACAGUAAAAGAAUAUCCUUCAGACACUAUCUGUUUACGUUACUGCUUGCUGGCAUAUGCUAAUGCUGUGAUGACACAGUUUGACAGCCCUCUUUUGGAUAUCACAUUUCUAUGCAUAGGAAGCAGUCAGAGAGGAUCAUCAGGUGACAAAGGUGACAGCAUAGCAAAAAUCAUAGAAAGCUAGACUGGGUGAGCUUCUUAGGUAGAUACUGAAUGAGACGCUAGAAGACAGAGAUGUGCUAGAACCCUUCAGAGAUGUAACAAGUGUACCACGGAUAUAGGAUGAAUUGUUUACAUUGAGAAAUGUCAGUUCAAGGAUGUAAGGGAAUUGUCAGAGACUAAAGGUACACUGAAACAUAGCUUGGAUCAUUUUUCUGAAAAGGUAAUGCACCUAGGGGUGGAAUCCCUGUGGAGUUUGCAUAAUAAAACACUGAGAGUUCAUACACAUGUAAGACGUACAUGAGGAGCUCUUAUAGCAUCAAAAGUGCAAUGAAGCUAGAAGCUGAGUUUUGUCACUAUAGAGGACACUGAAAAUCUUGAGCUGCUUUAUCUUUCUACUCCAGUGGAGGAUACAGCAUCCUGUUCUUAGACAUUAUAACUGAAUAAGGUACCCUAAAUCAUUGAUUAUUUACUAACAAACAUGAGAAGGAUGUCAUGUAACACAUGAAUGAGAUAUGAGGUGAUAUGUAUGACUCCAGGGAGAAAGUUAAGAUUUGCCAUUUACUGCUCUGGGUUUUGGUACACAUGCUGUUUCUGCACGAAGCUGUUGGGAACUGUCAGAGGUCACAUGCCAGCUAAUCGCUGUAAUUUAUUUAUAUAGCCGAUAUAUCUGAAAUCUUAGUUUUGUAGCUUGCAAGGAAGCAUGCUGGAUUUCUAACAGCAUGUUGAAUGCUUUUAUUAACAUACAGGAAAACAUUGUGCAUAAUUCAGUAGUCUGAUUGCAUAUGAUUUUAAUAUUGUUUUGGAAGUUCCAAGAGUGAAUGUCAGAGGGUAGCUUCAUAAUGAUUUUCCCAUUUGACAAUCAUAAACUGCAAUGCAAAUCAUGGCCCCCUAAAGAUAUAAAUAAAGCUGUUUGUCAAUAACAUGGAAGAUUGUCCAUGGGUGUGUUAAUAUGGUUGCAGAGAUGAGAGCUAUAGUGUUGGGGAUAUUAGUAUCCAUCUAAAAGCAGUCUUCUGAAAUGAUCCUUUAAUCUAUGUGCAUGUGUGCCUGUCUACAGUGUUACUUUUCUGAGCAGUCUGCACUUGAAUGCUUUCUGAUUUAGCACUCAGAGCAAGAAGAAAUUUAUUUAAUAUGGAUAUCUAAAUAAAAAUGGAACCUGUUCAAAAUUUCUAGUGCAUUAUUAUAAGCUCUGCACCAGAAGGAAAGCAAAGUAUAGGCCAGUGAUGUCGAACAUUUUGGGUUUGGAGUGUCAGGAGUUCCUGGCACAAAAUAAUUCAGUGCACUCCACAUGAGCAACGAAUGCAAAAGCAGUGUCUUUAGUAAUUUGGGUGUUGGUGAUCGCUGUGUCACCCAAAAUGUGGUGUGUGUCGCCUUUGACAAACAUGUCAUAGGUUCACCAUCACUGGUAUAGGCUGUCACAAGAUAAAUAAGACUAGAACCCCUGUAUUACACACAUCACCUUGCUGGCAAGGACAGUUGAGGGUUUGUGCCUGAAUAGGUCCAUUAAUAUAGCGACCACAGCAGUUUUUAACUAUCCUGAACCUAUAUCUUAGUUAGAUUGCCAACAUAAUUAUUUUAAUAGUGUACUGAUUUUUUAAGGUAUGCAUUUUUUUGCCAUUAAGACAUCACGUUGCUUAUUAUUUCCAUUAAACUGAUGUUUUUCUGGUUUUACCAUUAUUUCUAUUUACCAAAGUAUCUUUGUUAUUCAGAAUACAUGAUUUUCCGCAUACACACUACCUUUAUCUGCAGGUUUAUUUUUAUAGCAGAGCAUUGGAUGAACCCAUGCUAUACAUGGGCAGAAAAAGGGAAUUGUCCUUGAACCCAGGCCAAUAUUUUUCCUCUCAGUGGAGCAUAUAUAGCUCCUUUUAUAGAAUUAUGACUCACUACACUUUCCCUGAUUAAAAAAAAAAGAAUAAAUUAAUGGCACCCUGAGAUGUAAAUGAAAGAAUUGAAUAAAUGAAGAAGACUAGAAUAUAGCAUACAAGGUUCAUAAACUUAUCAAGCACAAAAAAGUUAUAAACAUACUCAAGGUGAUCUUUGUUUAAAAUGCUUUAAUGUACCGAAGACUCUGCUGAAUAUGUGUUACUAGUUUUCUAUGUAUCAUAGCACAUUCAUUAUUGAUUUACUGUUGUAUAUUGCAUUUGGCUAUGUUUCAGGUUGUGACUAUAGCAUGUGUAUUUUUUUAUUAUUAUUUUUAAUUCAGACACUUGCAUUUUGAUUAUAUAGCAAAUAAAGUCUGGCUCUGUCAGUUGCAGUGGUAAUGGUGCGCCAUUCUGUGCAUCCUGUUAAUACGGAGAAAAUGCCUUCUGUUUUUCAUUUCAAUUUGCCAGAUAAAUAUAGCUUGUAUGUGCUGUAGCAACAUGCCUUUUCAUCUGUAUAAAUAGCCAAUGCACAUACUGUAAUGGAAUUCAGUAGGAAAACAAAAUGGUGUUUGUUUUCUCUGUAUUUGUGUAUUUGCAGACUUUUGUCUGAGAUGAUUGUAAAACCAGUUGUUUAGAAAAUUAUUUUAAUUAAAAAUGUUUACAAAUAAACUGAGGUUAAAAACA